CCUACGGGUGGCAGCAGUGAGGAAUAUUGGUCAAUGGACGAGAGUCUGAACCAGCCAAGUAGCGUGAAGGAUGACUGCCCUAUGGGUUGUAAACUUCUUUUAUAUGGGAAUAAAAUGUUCCACGUGUGGGAUUUUGUAUGUACCAUAUGAAUAAGGAUCGGCUAACUCCGUGCCAGCAGCCGCGGUAAUACGGAGGAUCCGAGCGUUAUCCGGAUUUAUUGGGUUUAAAGGGAGCGUAGGUGGAGUGUUAAGUCAGUUGUGAAAGUUUGCGGCUCAACCGUAAAAUUGCAGUUGAAACUGGCAGUCUUGAGUACAGUAGAGGUGGGCGGAAGUCGUGGUGUAGCGGUGAAAUGCUUAGAUAUCACGAAGAACUCCGAUUGCGAAGGCAGUUCACUGGACUGCAACUGACACUGAGGCUCGAAAGUGUGGGUAUCAAACAGGAUUAGAUACCCUUGUAGUC
rnacentral:rRNA from 1 species